rfam:Gossypium raimondii chromosome 4, whole genome shotgun sequence.
AUCCCAUGAUGAGGACACUUAUGAAGUAAUUCCUUGAAUAUUUCCCAAGCAUCAUACAAAGACUCAUUAUCCAAUUGUUGAAAAGUUGUUAUCUCAUUACACAAUUU